GACACCCUCCUCCCUUCACAUCUGCCGCAUAUAUUGCUAUAUCAAAAUUGGCCAACACUUUGCAAAACGAAAUUCAAUGAAAGAAAUUGAAACGGUAAAGGGUGUGGUUUUAGUUAUUGAAAGCACAGCUCUUUUCCAUUCUUGAUUUAGUAAAAACAGAGAAUUCAUCCAAAACUAGCUUAGUCAAUUAGUUGGUCCAAAAUGAAACAGUUUUUAGUAAGAAAUGAAAAUUUUCCAAUUUUUUUAAAAAUCAAGCACCCUAUUCUCUUACAAAUGUUAGAUACAAUAACAUAUGAAAUGAGAAAAUGGGCAGUAAAUGUAUACCUGGGCUAGAAGUGAAUGUUAUGU
rnacentral:misc_RNA from 1 species